CCUACGGGAGGCUGCAGUGAGGAAUAUUGGUCAAUGGGCGGAAGCCUGAACCAGCCAAGUAGCGUGCGGGAUGAAGGCCCUACGGGUCGUAAACCGCUUUUGCACGGGGAUAACACCCUCCACUUGUGGAGGUCUGCAGGUACCGUGCGAAUAAGGGCCGGCUAAUUCCGUGCCAGCAGCCGCGGUAAUACGGAAGGCCCGAGCGUUAUCCGGAUUCAUUGGGCUUAAAGGGAGCGUAGGCGGGCGUUCAAGUCAGUUGGAAAAUCGCGCGGCUCAACCGCGCCCCGCAGUUGAAACUGGAAGCCUUGAGUUCACAAGAGGAAGGCGGAAUUCGUGGUGUAGCGGUGAAAUGCAUAGAUAUAACGAGGAACCCCGAUUGCGAAGGCAGCCUGCCGGGGUGCGACUGACGCUGAGGCUCGAAGGUGUGGGGAUCAAACAGGAUUAGAUACCCCUGUAGUC
rnacentral:rRNA from 1 species